UUGUGUCCUUCAAAGUUCCUAUGUUAAUGUCUUAACCCCUCAGGUCCUCAAAUGUGAUCUUAACUUGAAGACAGCGUCUUUAUAGAAGUUAUCAAAUUAAAAUGAGGUUAUAAGGUUGGGCCCAUAAUCCAACAAGUGGUGUCUUUAUAAGAAGGGGAUAUAGAUACGCAUGGAUGUGAAGAGACACAGGGAGGACUAUCCACAAACCAACGAAGGAGGCCUGGAAUAGAUCCUUUCCUCACAGCCCUCACAAAGAAUCGAUACUGCCCACACCUUGAAUUUGGAUUUCAAGACUCUGGAAGUUUCCAAUGCAGACCUUCUCUACCUAAAUGAUGACUGCUUUUCUUCACAGGACAUAAACAGGACAAAAGACAUGAAUCUACACUCCUACUCCAAAUAAAAGAGUUUUGUAUUUCAUCAAUGAUAUUGACAUCCUUCCUGUUACAAAAGCCAAAAACUUGCUUUGGAUUUGUGUGCGCAUGUGUGACUUAUACACAAAUAACAUUUAAUUGGCAAAUUAAACAUGCCCAGCAUAUUUGAUUAAAUUCACUGCAAUACUCA